rnacentral:lncRNA from 1 species
GGACCAUCCACAUGAGUUGACGAGCAUUAUUAGGCAGGCCCUAAUCUUAAGAUCGAUAAUCGAUCGAGAUGAAGGUUGGGUAGAAACUGAUCUCGUAGUGCUGUCUUAUCUCGAAAAGUGAUCUAACCUUAUCAGGCCAUUAUUGGGUGCUCAGUUUUAUCCCAAGAAGGAGAGCUUAAGUCCGAUAUCGGGUAAUCCCCGUAACAUAUGG